rnacentral:rRNA from 1 species
AACGUAGGAGGCAAGCGUUAUCCGGAUUUACUGGGCGUAAAGGGCAAGCAGGCGGUUGAUUAAGUCUGCGGUGAAAGCUCUCGGCUCAACUGGGAGAGCGCCGUGGAAACUGGUCAACUAGAGAGAGACAGAGGCUGAUGGAAUUCCGGGUGGAGUGGUGAAAUGCGUAGAGAUCCGGAGGAACACCAGUGGCGAAGGCGGUCAGCUAGGUCUUAUCUGACGCUCAGGUGCGAAAGCAUGGGGAGCGAACGGG